rnacentral:sRNA from 1 species
CCCUAGCCCUGAUAGAAGCGGUAUCCUUUUUAUCCGCUUUUUUGCGGAUGAAAAGAUACAAGCGGAUAGGAGGACACGAG